GUCGAACGGUGAAGAGGAGCUUGCUCCUCGGAACAGUGGCGGACGGGUGAGUAACACGUGAGCAACCUGGCUCUAAGAGGGGGACAACAGUUGGAAACGACUGCUAAUACCGCAUAACGUAUCGGGAUGGCAUCUUCCUGAUACCAAAGAUUUUAUCGCUUAGAGAUGGGCUCGCGUCUGAUUAGAUAGUUGGCGGGGUAACGGCCCACCAAGUCGACGAUCAGUAGCCGGACUGAGAGGUUGAACGGCCACAUUGGGACUGAGACACGGCCCAGACUCCUACGGGAGGCAGCAGUGGGGGAUAUUGGACAAUGGGGGCAACCCUGAUCCAGCGACGCCGCGUGAGGGAAGAAGGUUUUCGGAUUGUAAACCUCUGUUGACGGAGAAAAAAAUGAUGGUAUCCGUUUAGAAAGCCACGGCUAACUACGUGCCAGCAGCCGCGGUAAUACGUAGGUGGCAAGCGUUGUCCGGAAUUACUGGGUGUAAAGGGAGUGUAGGCGGGAUAUCAAGUCAGAAGUGAAAAUUACGGGCUCAACUCGUAACCUGCUUUUGAAACUGACAUUCUUGAGUGAAGUAGAGGCAAGCGGAAUUCCUAGUGUAGCGGUGAAAUGCGUAGAUAUUAGGAGGAACACCAGUGGCGAAGGCGGCUUGCUGGGCUUUUACUGACGCUGAGGCUCGAAAGCGUGGGGAGC
rnacentral:rRNA from 1 species